AUGGUGGAAGAUGUGUAUCCGAAGGAGAGAGGAGGUAUGGGAUUCCAGGAUAUUCAUAGCUUUAACUUGGCAAUGUUGGCAAAGCAGUGUUGGAGACUAAUUGAGAACUUUGGUUCAUUAUGUGCACGGGUUCUGAGAGACAAGUACUACCCUACAGGAGAUAUUCUGAAUUGUCAACUGAAGAAGGGGUCGUCCUAUGUGUGGCAAAGCAUUUGGUCUAGAAUUCAAACGUUC
rnacentral:rRNA from 1 species